GCGCGAAAACUUUACAAUGCUGGCAACAGCGAUAAGGGAACCUCGAGUGCCAGGUUACAAAUCUGGCUGUCGAGAUGCCUAAAAAGCAUUUCAUAGCAAGGGCCGGGCAAGACCGGUGCCAGCCGCCGCGGUAACACCGGCGGCUCGAGUGGUAACCGUUAUUAUUGGGUCUAAAGGGUCUGUAGCCGGCCGGAUAAGUCUCUUGAGAAAUCUGGCAGCUUAACUGUCAGGCUUUCAGGAGAUACUGUCUGGCUCGAGGCCGGGAGAGGUGAGAGGUACUUCGAGGGGUAGGGUGAAAUCUUGUAAUCCUUGAAGGACCACCAGUGGCGAAGGCGUCUCACCAGAACGGACCUGACGGCAAGGGACGAAGCUAGGGGCAGAACCGGAUAGAUACCCAGUA
rnacentral:rRNA from 1 species